ensembl:lncRNA
CACCAGAGAGUUAAAAUAUUUAAUGACAAAAUCCAAGUUGCUAUAAGAGUGAACCAACAGAACAGUUGUUAACUUGUCUCUGAAUGAAACAAAAAUGGUACUGUACUCAGUAUCAUAGAGAAUUUCUGAAAAACCAAGAACAACACACAUUAGCAGCAUCACAAUUCUGAUAAUUAGGAGUGAAACCUAUCUUAACUAGUAUCUCUUAUAUAGGGCACUCUGUAACUGUUUCUACAUAAAUGCAUAAUCUUUGCUAGUCACAAUAGUAUAAAACAGAUUUCACUAUAAUUUUAAGUCUAACACAUAAUAUUACUUCUACCAGACCUUAAAAAAAGUUAGCUACUGGUCUUGUUACAUUUUACAAGUACAUUCUUUAAAAUGAAACAUCAACCUGAAUAACUGCAUAGAGCCUGGACAUAGAUAGCUAAUCAUACUAGUGAAGAACACUAUGGCAACAUUCCAGGAAGAAGUGGAAAUGCUGGCAAGUUCCCUUUUUAAUGCAUUAUACUUUUUAUGCAUUAUAAUUUUAUGCAAUACAAUUCACAAAGUCCUUCAGAGAAAGACCGCAUUUCCAAAAUUCAUAAUGAAGUGCAGAAAUAAAAUCAACACUGUACGUCUUCUAGCAAGCUCAACCAAAUGACUUGGUCCCUUAUGACAGGAGUCCUCUUAGCAAAUUCAUGCCAGUUACACUGUAAUAGCGUUUUAUAUUGCAACACCUUCUACAAAAGGAUUGCAAUGGAUUUCACAUGUGUCAUCAGGGGUUUCUCUGCAAGAGGCUGGACAGCUGAAAAGGGGCAGCAAUUGCUGUUAUAGUCCAUGUGUUUGGUGGAAGACAAGCAAGAUGGAUCACAGACCAAGGUCAUGGUGAUGGCCUAGAUGCUGAUUGAUCAGUAGAGGAAGCUAGCAGAGCUCCAGGUGGGCUUUUCUUUUAGUUCAGACUAUUUCCAACAAGAUUUAGGCCAAAAGUGAUCAAGAGAGAGAAUGGAAAGAGGGCAGGUACAGGGCACUUACAUUCAUAGAAAACAACUAAAAGGGGAAGACUCCGCUUUCACAGUAUGCUUCUGCCUGUUCAGAAACAGAUGCCCCAAAGUUGGUUGUCAGGUAUCUAACAAGCAAUUUUAUUGUUGACUUGUGCGGGGAAGUUAGACUAUUUCUCUCAACUCUGUAUAUUAACUCUCUGAAACUAGAACCCAGUUCUAGAAGACAAAUAUUCAUGUUUUCUGAGAUAAAGUCUGCAAAUGAGACCAAUUUGGAGUGUUCUUUGGGCGCUUUUUCUUUUUAUUCUUAUUUUUUACGAAUCAGACAGUUCCACUAGUCAGCAGAUGGCAGGUUCCUGACUUUUUUAAAAAAAAAAAUUAUAAGACACCUAAAGAAAAAUGUAAGGUAUAGUAAACAUUCAUAAUCCUCUAUGUACAUUUUACAGUAUGUUCUUCACCUGGAUAAUCUACCCAAGAGGAUUCUUACACUUUUUUGCAGCAAAUCCCAUCAUCUUCCUGACAUUAUACCUAUGCUAUUCCAUAGAAAUGUGCUUUCUCAGGGGAUGCGUUAUUAGGAGAACUUAAGCUAUUUAAAUCAGCAUUAAUAAUC